AGAGUUUGAUCAUGGCUCAGGACGAACGCUGGCGGCAUGCCUAAUACAUGCAAGUCGAACGAGCUUCCGUUGAAUGACGUGCUUGCACUGAUUUCAACAAUGAAGCGAGUGGCGAACUGGUGAGUAACACGUGGGGAAUCUGCCCAGAAGCAGGGGAUAACACUUGGAAACAGGUGCUAAUACCGUAUAACAACAAAAUCCGCAUGGAUCUUGUUUGGAAGGUGGCUUCGGCUAUCACUUCUGGAUGAUCCCGCGGCGUAUUAGUUAGUUGGUGAGGUAAAGGCCCACCAAGACGAUGAUACGUAGCCGACCUGAGAGGGUAAUCGGCCACAUUGGGACUGAGACACGGCCCAAACUCCUACGGGAGGCAGCAGUAGGGAAUCUUCCACAAUGGACGAAAGUCUGAUGGAGCAAUGCCGCGUGAGUGAAGAAGGGUUUCGGCUCGUAAAACUCUGUUGUUAAAGAAGAACACCUUUGAGAGUAACUGUUCAAGGGUUGACGGUAUUUAACCAGAAAGCCACGGCUAACUACGUGCCAGCAGCCGCGGUAAUACGUAGGUGGCAAGCGUUGUCCGGAUUUAUUGGGCGUAAAGCGAGCGCAGGCGGUUUUUUAAGUCUGAUGUGAAGGCCUUCGGCUUAACCGGAGAAGUGCAUCGGAAACUGGGAGACUUGGGUGCAGAAGAGGACAGUGGAACUCCAUGUGUAGCGGUGGAAUGCGUAGAUAUAUGGAAGAACACCAGUGGCGAAGGCGGCUGUCUAGUCUGUAACUGACGCUGAGGCUCGAAAGCAUGGGUAGCGAACAGGAUUAGAUACCCUGGUAGUCCAUGCCGUAAACGAUGAGUGCUAAGUGUUGGAGGGUUUCCGCCCUUCAGUGCUGCAGCUCACGCAUUAAGCACUCCGCCUGGGGA
rnacentral:rRNA from 1 species